GCGCACAUUUCGGUGCUUUAUUUCGGUGCUUUUUUUCCUGAGACGUCACACACUUUGAAUUCUAGCCAAUCAUUUUACGUUUCCGAGGAUAGUAGGCGGGGCCAGGUACGUACGUUCUUUUAGAGCAGAGCUACAGAUUAAAAAUGCCCAAGGUGAAGCGGUCAAAGUCUGGCUGUACUUCACAGCAAAAGAUGCAAACUCAGCAGCAACAAGUGCUUUAAGCUGAUACUGUGAUACUGUCAAAGGAGGUAACACCUCGAAUCCGAUGAAACACCUGGCGACGCAUAGCGUUUUUUUUAAAAGCCGAAAAAUGUGCUGUAUUUGAUAGCUUGCUGCGAGACCUCACACCAAGCACAUCUACUGCGGGUCGGUUGCCUGUUAUGCAACAUCCCCCAAAAACACGAAGAGGAGAGUCCUGGCCCCUAGCCCUGCCAGUGUAGCAGAAAUGAUGAGGAUGAUGAUGCAGCAGCCGUUCUUCUCUGCGUGAGUAGCUUAAUGUUGUUCGUGUGUAAUUUACGUUGAGUAGGCUAACCACGUUAUUACAUUAAUGCAUGUAAGGUGAACUAGCAAACAUCAUCAUAGCUACAUGCUGCUGUCUUCUUGUUUGAUGGCAGAUACUCCCUUCACAAUGGCCAAAAAGGCUAAAAUGACCAAAGAAAAAGUGGAAAACAGUUAAACAUGAGAGGUUUUUGGACAAAGUUUGUGUUUUUUCCAUUGUUUAAGCACUGCUUCCAGCCAACAGUGAUACCAUAUAUGCCCCAUAGCUGCAGAAAAGGCUAACAUUGUUAUCUUUUUACAAAAAAAACCAGCUGAACAUGAGAGGUUUUUGGACCAAUUUUGUGUUCUCCAUUCUUUAAGCACCGGUUUAAGCACCGGCACUGUUUCAAAAGUACCGAUUUGGCACCGGUAUCGGAUAAAACCUAAACGAUACCCACCCCUACUCUUCACUGUCAUUGACCUACAUCAGUCAUCAGGACAUUUUAUAAUAAGAACACUUGGAGGGAAAGUUGUUCAAGCAACAGUGUGUGGCGGCCGAACACAUCAGCAGCCAUCGUAGCCUG
ensembl:lncRNA